CUACGGGGGGCACCAGUGAGGAAUAUUGCACAAUGGGGGGAACCCUGAUGCAGCAACGCCGCGUGGAGGAUGACGCAUUUCGGUGUGUAAACUCCUUUUAUAUGUCAAGAAAAUGACGGUAGCAUAUGAAUAAGCACCGGCUAACUCCGUGCCAGCAGCCGCGGUAAUACGGAGGGUGCAAGCGUUACUCGGAAUCACUGGGCGUAAAGGACGCGUAGGCGGGUUGGAAAGUCAGGUGUGAAAUCCUACAGCUUAACUGUAGAACUGCACUUGAAACUUCUAAUCUAGAGUAUGGGAGGGGGAGAUGGAAUUAGUGGUGUAGGGAUAAAAUCCGUAGAUAUCACUAGGAAUACCUAAAGCGAAGGCGAUCUCCUGGAACAUAACUGACGCUAAGGCGUGAAAGCGUGGGGAGCAAACAGGAUUAGAUACCCUUGUAGUC
rnacentral:rRNA from 1 species